GAGUGGCGGACGGGUGAGUAAUGUCUGGGAAACUGCCUGAUGGAGGGGGAUAACUACUGGAAACGGUAGCUAAUACCGCAUAACGUCGCAAGACCAAAGAGGGGGACCUUCAGGCCUCUUGCCAUCGGAUGUGCCCAGAUGGGAUUAGCUUGUUGGUGGGGUAACGGCUCACCAAGGCGACGAUCCCUAGCUGGUCUGAGAGGAUGACCAGCCACACUGGAACUGAGACACGGUCCAGACUCCUACGGGAGGCAGCAGUGGGGAAUAUUGCACAAUGGGCGCAAGCCUGAUGCAGCCAUGCCGCGUGUAUGAAGAAGGCCUUCGGGUUGUAAAGUACUUUCAGCGGGGAGGAAGGGAGUAAAGUUAAUACCUUUGCUCAUUGACGUUACCCGCAGAAGAAGCACCGGCUAACUCCGUGCCAGCAGCCGCGGUAAUACGGAGGGUGCAAGCGUUAAUCGGAAUUACUGGGCGUAAAGCGCACGCAGGCGGUUUGUUAAGUCAGAUGUGAAAUCCCCGGGCUCAACCUGGGAACUGCAUCUGAUACUGGCAAGCUUGAGUCUCGUAGAGGGGGGUAGAAUUCCAGGUGUAGCGGUGAAAUGCGUAGAGAUCUGGAGGAAUACCGGUGGCGAAGGCGGCCCCCUGGGCGAAGACUGACGCUCAGGUGCGAAAGCGUGGGGAGCACACAGGAUUAGAUACCCUGGUAGUCCACGCCGUAAACGAUGUCGACUUGGAGGUUGUGCCCUUGAGGCGUGGCU
rnacentral:rRNA from 1 species